rnacentral:tRNA from 1 species
GGGCUCAUAGAUCAAUGGGAGAUCGCCGCGUUCGCAAUGCGGAGGUUGAGGGUUCGAGUCCCUCUGGGUCCA